GAAAGGGACAGAGAGCUAAGACUGAGUGACUGAAAAAGAGAGUCAAAAGAAUGGGAUAGAGGUGAGAUGCUGCCCUUCUUGCAUAAUGUGUACAGCUCCAUCAAAUCUUAUCUUCACUCCAGAGUAAACCAUGAAUAUGGCAAGAUCAUACAGACAGGUGGAGUCCGGUUGUCCUAGGCUGAACAACACACAACAAAACCUGUCCUCUUUUGGAGCUUGAUCUGUGACCUUCAGGAUCAGUGACCAGAUCCUUGCAAGUCUUACUCACGUGAGAUAUCCUGUCUCAUACAGGUUUUCCUACUGAAGUCGAAUAGACUACUUAGUUUUAAAAAGGCAGAAAUUUCUCUGAUGAAGCGUAUUCUGGCAAUCCACACUUGCCACCAGUAGGGAACACAAGAUUGAAGUAAG